rnacentral:rRNA from 1 species
GUCUACGGCCAUGCCACCCUGAACAAGCCUGAUCCUGUCUGAUCUCGGAAGCUAAGCAGGGUCGGGCCUGGUUAGUAUUUGGAUGGGAGACCACCUAGGAAGACCAGGUGCUGUAGGCA